AUUUCCACUGAGCCCCAACCAGGAUUACUCAAACUGCAGUCUUUUACCAGGAAUGUUUGUUCUGGAGCGCCACACCAUCUGGGGCAUGUAUGUUAGCUUCUUGCCAGCUCAUUGUCCUAACUGACCAUUACCUCUUAUUAGCCAUUAAAUAUUUCAGAAAACCAGUUACUGAAAAUGUCAUAGGACCGGCCUGCCUCAGAAAGCCAUCCACAGUUCAUUUUGUUUUGGUCUUAAACAGAGAAUGUGAUCCAUCAGAAAUUUUGCUAUCUGCAUAAAAAUUCAAAGAACCCUGAGAGUUUGGGGCAGUAUUUAUACUAUGAGGACAGUAUUUUACACUAGUUCUGUUUCCCCCCAAAACCUCAAAGGUCAAGAACUCACCAUACUAAUUAACGAUAGUUCAAUAAAAAUCCAACUAUAGUUCAAUAUGUCGAUUAUACCUCAAUAAGAAUAAAUAAGUAAGUAACAUCAUGUAUUUCAGGGCCUGUAUACUCCUUUCUACCUCAGGUUUGAUAUGGCUCAGCCAGGUACUAGCCUUGUCUGAAACCCAUUCAAAUGGAGGGCCCCACUCCUUUGUAUUCUUGUUUCAUGACUGUAUAUGUGUUUACCCAUCUCACUGAAUGCACAUUGAGGCUUAUCCCCAGAAAAAUACUGAGUGUAGUAUCCUGUGCCUUGAUGACAAUGUUCUAUAUUUAGAAGCUGUCAAAUUCUGAAUAAAUGUAUACUUUUCAAAAAUCAGAUUUCCUAAAAUAUUACAUGAGAAAGUAAUAAGGACAGUGCAUGGGAACAGUCCACAAUGAAGCUUCCACGCUCUCACACACAAAAAGAACUCAUGCUAUUUCCUAUCUGUGUGUAUCUGAUGCGUUUCUUACAUUGGACUAAACUGUGAUUCCAGUCUCUAUAACCUCUGCCUUCCCAGAUAAUAACACAGGAUGCAGAAUUAUUUCAUAUCUUCAUUUCCCUUGUACAUCUUACAUGGUAGAUAGGAAGAUCUCAAAUUCUUCCUACCUCAGAGAGCAUGCCUCUUUGUAACGUGACUUCGCUGCUGCUUCUAUCUCAGAAAGCAUGCCUCUUUGUAACGUGACUUUGCUGCUGCUUCCUAUCUCAGAAAGCAUGCCUCUUUGUAACGUGACUUUGCUGCUGCUUCUAUCUCAGAAAGCAUGCCUCUUUGUAACGUGACUUUGCUGCUGCUUCUAUCUAGAGGUGUUUAUUUUUCUGUUACUUUGAAUAUGGGCUGGUCUGUGACUUACUUUAAGAGAAUGUGGCAGAAGUGAUUUGUGAAUUCAGGUGUCUAGACCUUAAGAGGCCUUAGAGCUUCUGCUUUUGCCCUGUUGGAAUACUUCCCUGAGAUUUUCAGGUAAGGAAGCCAGUCAAGCCUACUGAAGAAAUAGAGGUCACAUGAAGACCUGACGUGACCCAGCUGACAGCCAACACCAACUACCGUAUUGGACACUCCAGCUGACUCUCCAAUGACCCAAAGUAAAGCAGCAGAAGAACCACCUUGCCAACCCACAGAAUAAUGAAAAACAAGCUGAGUGCAGUGCUGAAGUAUGGACACAUGAGGUAUUUCUGGAGUUGAAUUACUCCUGGAACCAGACUUUCACGCUGCCUUUACCCCCAGAUCUUCCGAAACUCCUUGGCCCUGCCUUUAUUCAACUUUAACUUUGGAGUCAGAGAGCUGAGGAUAGAAAGCAUUUCAUGGAUAUCUGAAAAUGGUCAGCCAGAUAUCUUCAGAACCCUUUGGAAAUGACCACCAGCAUUCUUUGGUGUUGGACCUGGAGCCCUGAAUUAACCAGAAAAGACAGGAGCUUGAUGCCUACAGAAAGCAUACAUUCUACUCUUGCACUUCAGACCCCACGUUUUAAGGGAGGACUAUGUUAUCCAUUGCUGGAAGAGGCAGGUAAAAGGCCAGGGUGAGAGUUCUAGGUCAGCAAAAGUCAUUCAGUGGACCAGGAUGACAAAGCUCUAUCAUCCUUUCAAGGUGGCUGUUGUCAGCUCCACAUCAGGGAGCUAGAUGGUAGAAAGGCAUGGAAGAGUAUACCAGUGUGAGAACUCUAGCACCUGGCCUCACCUGACUGCAGGGGAGCUUUGGAAACAGAGUUCAGCUGUGUGCUCAGGAAAAAAAGAAGGGAUUUUUGUGAGCAGCUUAAUGCCUUUGCCACAUGCACUAUACAAAUUUCUGCCUCAGGAAAAUAAAACAUACUAUAUAAACAGCUAUCAUGGCCUUUGGGAUUGUCACAAGCAUUCACACCUGUGAAGGGUAAGAAUUUGUUCUCCCCAAGCAUCUAUUUAUGCUUAAUCUCAGUAGGAGAGGGGAAAGGAAAGAAAUGGUUUGUUUCAAGGGGGAAUAAUAUAGAAGAUAAUAUUAAUUUGUAUAAAAUGUCUCAAAUUAUAGUAAUGCAGGAGUUAGGUCUUUUUUUAAAAUGCAUUUUAGUAUCAGAUAGUCUAUGUUGAGAAGAUUUUCUCUCUUCAGUUCUUCCAAUCUAUUGAGGAAGGAAAUAGGCCAAGGAAGUUAAACUUCUUUUCUCAGGGGGCCUAACUGUUGGCCCAGGCUGGGUUCCAAGAGCUGACACAAGGGAUGGUUAACUUGUGGGCUGUUCUUUUGCUGAAUAAAGAGAAGAAAAGAAGAAUUCCUAUGUCUGUUUCCCAGGCACAGGGAGGACCAGGAAGCAAGGAAAUCUCUGAUUUUCAAGUCCACUGAGCAGAAUACAAGAACAGGGUCCAAAAUAAAGAGUUCUCCAUUGAGAACCAGCAAGAUGGAGCAAUCAAGUCCUGUGGGCAGGCUGAGCCUGGAAAGAAGCCCAGAGGCCAUGGCAUGCUUGGGAGGGAGGUUUCUCUGGACCCUUCAGGAACUGAGACUUUGACAUUCCAACCCUGCUGUUUGCUUGAGGUUUGUCCACUCCCUCCGUUUGGAGAAGAGUAAUCUGAAGCUAAAUCACAUGUGUUAUAAGAAUGCUCAUCCAUAGCAAAUCAGGAAGAGAAGACAAAACAAAAGAAAAAUUCACAAACAAAAUUAGUAGAAUCACCUGUAGGACCUAUGUUGAAAGAGAAAUUAGCUUUCAUGAAGAAGAGAUGUUAUGGCAUGGCCUGGGAAUUAAGCACACUGAAUUUGGAUUUUAAAAGGGUUUGAUUCAAUUCCUAUUUCUGCUACCAAGUAGCCUGUGACUUUGGGAAAGUGGUCUAUACUUUUUAAAUCUAAGUUCCUAUUCUGUAAAAUGUGAAAUAAAAAUAAUACCUAACUCAUGUUUUCCUUUUAAAAAAAAUUUAAAUCAAAGAACGUUCAACUGUAUUUGAUAAGGUAUAAGAACUCAACAAAUACUAGCUGAAAAUAUUUUUAAAAAUUGACUUUUUCUUUUCUUUCUUUCUGGAUAUAAAACCUGUCCCUUAUAUCUAAAAAUCAAUCAAUCAAUCAAACUUCACCCCCUUCGCACCCGACCUUUUGGACUCUACUGAGUACAAGAUGAGGGUUAUGACAACAGAUACAUCUAGAAAAAUAUAUGUUAAUUUAAGACAUUUCCUUUUAGACAUGAGUGUUCUGCAAAUGUAGGUAUAUUUCUAAGAUCUUAAGGAAACAAAUACUAUAAAAACAUGACAUAGUUCAAGUAAUGUAGAAAAAAUAUCCGCAGAGUUUCAGCAUUCUUUCAUAUGAGAUGUACUAUAUGCUAAGAAUUCAUGACUCUCUGCAGUUUAUUUCAUAUUUCCCAAAUAGGCCAUCUUUUCUAUUACUCUGCCCAGAUCAGUAUAAAUUUUAUUUUCAAGGACUCCCAGUGCUUUCUUAGAAACCCAUCAUCACUGGGCAUGCCAGUACAUCUUCAGGCAAACUGUGAGAACAGUAUUAGUUGGCAAUUGUAGGAACAAAAGAAGAUUUUUCUAAAGGUGAUGAGGCAGAAAAGGAAAGCAGAUGCCUCUGAGGAACAGGGAGAAAUGUCAAAGGAAUUGGUCUAUCUUCUUGGCACCCUCAGGCUUGAAGAUGAGGGGGAUUGCCAAUUCAUUGCCUAAUGAAAACCGAGAGGGAAAGAUCCAGCUGAUUGCUCACUAAAGAUGCCUUGGAAAAGGAACUUGACAGUCUUGGGGAAGAGGAGUUGCAACAUAAAUUGGGAGGCAUAUAAAAUUCACUGCUGUGAUGAAAUUUGAGAGACUUCUCAAAGGUGCUGGAAAAAUUAGUGGUAUCUUCAAAUUAGCACAAAACUGUUUCAUAAAAAUGAUAUUAAUAUUUAUUAAGCCUUGUUAUGUAUCCUAUACUGUGCUGAGUCCUUUAUAUGCUUUAUUUCAGUAUUGUCCCAUUAUACAGACUGGGAAGCUGAGGUUUGCAGAAGUUAAGCCCUAAUCUUAAGUAACUUCAUGGAAGGAAUGUAGAGUAUAGAGUAUAGAGCAAAAGUCAUUUACUCAAAACCUAGCUAGGCAAAGAGGUCAGCUCAAUGAUACUUAAAUUCUAAGAAAACUUUGCUCACAUCCUCUUGGAUAAAUUAAUAACUAGUUUUAUGUCAGGGAAGGCAUGUUUCUCUGAGGUCGUGUUGCAGCACUUUCCAAAGGGUUUCCCUCAAAGGUGUUUCAUCUAUUAGUAUCAGCAAAGAUCUCGCAGAAUGGUGCAUUUUUGGCAGUUGUUACCUCAAGCUUUUGUUGAGUCAUUCCCUGUAGAAAUAAUUCCCUGAUUCAUCAGAUCUGUUUUUACCAUUAAUUAUAUUUAACAUCUGACAUCUUCUUUACCCCUUAUACAUAUCACUAAAUACCAGGGAGAAAAUAAGCCAAACCCAGCUUAAGCUUAAAAUAAUAGUCAAUUAUUAGUGAUUUAAAAUGAAAUUUUAAUAACUCCAACAUCCCAUUUAGUAAAACAAAAUCUUACAUUUCAUAAGGUAAAAAGAAUAUUAAACAUUUUUUUAACAUGUGAUGCUAUUUUCAUUCACAAGUUACAUGAUACAAAUUGUAUGCUUUUACAUACAGAAAAAAUGUUUAAUGUGAUCAUUCUAAGUACAAUAAUCAGCAAGAAAGUAUCUGCUAAAAAUUAGCUGCCUUUUGGAGUUUCUGCUAUGGCACAGCAGGUUAAGGGUUUAGCAUUUCCACAGCUGUGGCAUAGGUCCAUAUGCUGCAGGUCCACCAAAAAAAAAUUAGCUGCCUUUCUAGAUCCUCAUGGAACUCUGAAAUGAUUUAUAAUAAACAGCUAAAGCUUCUAAAAUUGUCACUAAUGUUUGUAUAAUAAAGGGUGCCCUGGUCUUUAAUUGAUAAUGGUUAGUAUUUGAACUUUGAUGUGUAGAAGAAGAUGUUAGCAGCUUUGUAUCAGAUAGCCUCACUUAGAAACUUUUUUAUUCCUAUUGAUAAAACAAAAGUACCCGGGGUGAACAUGUUUUUGCCAGCACAGCAUCCCUUCUCCUUGGCUUGAUAAUAAGCCCUCUGAUUUUCUGGGGGAUCUACCCAUCUCCAUCAUGGUGGGCUCAUUAAACUAUGGAUCAAAGUGCAGGUGGGGUGGGUUGGCCCUUCUCCUUAUCCCAACUCUCACUUUCCAAGACCAAUUAAAUAGAAGUCCUAGGAAUUUGGCCCAAGGACAAAACAUGGUUGGAGCUGAGUCUUUUGAUUACAACUCCCCAAAGAGACUGUCUCUGUUUCUUCACCCAGAUCUCUGCCACUGUCCUGCUUAUGUCUGGAAGUCUGAUUGUACUUCCAUUUCUUAGAUAUCAGGAGCUACUCCACAUUCCCCCAUUACAUUCCCACUCAAGUUGGUCCAUUUUUGCUGUUUGCAUUAAUUGGUUUCGUACAUUUUUUUUUUCAGAUUCAUUUACCAUCAAACAAUUUUUUUCUUUUUUUUUUCUUUUAUUUUCCCACUGCACAGCAAGGGGAUCAAGUUAUCCUUAUAUGUAUACAUUU